CAUCGAAAGCUCCAUUUUCUAUAUAUAGGAAAACACGACAGAAUUAGCCAGAAACAAAAACAAAAUGGGAUCAGCUACCAUGAAAGCUACUACUAGUAGUAGCAUUUUUUGCACUUGUCUUUUAUUCUUGAUCAUCAGCUUCAGCUCUAGCUAUGCUAGCCCUUCAUACUCCUCAAAGGCCAUGAAGGGAGCUUACUAUCCCUCAUGGAGAGUUGCAGAUUUUCCACCAUCCGCCAUCGAUACAACCUUAUUCACUCACAUCUACUACGCAUUUCUCAACCCCAGUGCUUCAACUUUCGAGCUUGGCAUAGAUGCUUCAACAGCACAACUUCUCACCAACUUCACAUCAACUCUUCACUCCAAAAAUCCGCCAGUCAGGACACUUUUCUCCAUUGGCGGAGGAGGCGAUGAUCCGACUGUAUUUUCCCGCAUGGCCUCGACUCCAGCCUCUCGCAGGAGCUUCAUCCUCUCUACCAUAGAAGUAGCAAGAAAAUACGGGUUCGAUGGAUUCGAUCUCGACUGGGAGUUCCCUCAAAACCCGCAGGAAAUGAACGACUUAGGCAGCCUAUUCGACGAAUGGAGAGCUGAAAUCGUAAAAGAAUCCAAAGCAACACAUCGACCUCAGCUCUUGCUCUCCGCAGCAGUUUAUUUCUCUUCAACCUUUUUCCUAGCUGCUACGCCCAGAACUUACCCAAUAGCCUCAAUCAACAAGAAUUUAGAUUGGAUCAAUGCCAUGUGCUACGAUUAUCAUGGCGCCUGGGAACCUACAAUCACAGGUUCCAAUUCAGCAUUAUUUGACCCCAAAAGUAACAUCAGUACUAGCUAUGGAUUGGGAUCUUGGCUCAAGGCAGGGAUCUUGAGGAGCAAAUUGGUGAUGGGUUUGCCGCUUUAUGGCAAAACAUGGACGCUAAAGGACCCUAGCGUCCAUGGCGUGGGAGCUCCCGCAGUUGGUCUUGGUCCUGAGGGUGAUGGUGGAAGGGGGAUUUUGUUGUAUUACCAGGUCGAGGAGUUUAAUAAAAAGAACAAUGCCACAGUUGGAUUUGAUGUGGCUACUGCGUCUACUUAUUCAUUUGCAGGAACUGUAUGGGUUGGAUAUGAUGAUAGUAGAUCUACAGCAGCAAGGAUUGGAUAUGCUCAGGCUCUCAGGAUUCGUGGUUACUUCUUCUGGGCUUUGAGCUAUGAUCUGGACUGGAAAAUAUCCAGAACAGGUACUUACUGCUUACCAAUACUAGUAUUUUGUAUUACUUAUUGGUCUCUUAAUCUAAGUUUCACUUAAUUUUGAUGAAUUAUUAUUAGUUUAAGUUUAUGAAUCUCCGAGUCCAGAAUUUUGGUUCUCUCCAUAAUUCAUACUCCUUUAUAAUCUAUAUAAAAUGAAACCGUGGGUUAUUUUCAUAAGAAACUAAGAAACCUCUUCCUUUUUUUUUUGUAUCAAUCUUAAAAUGAUAAAUUUUCAUUUAUAGUACGUGGGAGAAGGAGAUACAGAUAGGAAUAUUCAAGAUUCAUUCCAUAUUGUGGAGUUAGAUGCUAGAGCAUUAACUAUUUAUCUUUUAGGUGGCUAAUUGAAAACUCUUCCGCAAGAUAUUUGGUCAGAAAAUCAGGCUGUGUGGGACUGUAAUAAUGAUAGUCCUUUUCUCAAUUAUUAGCUCUGCACAUGAGGCUGAAAAAGAUUUAUUACUGCACAACUCGUCUGGCCAACUAAGAUGAUAAACAAGUAUAUAUGGUGUUGCUUCUUCUUCUUCUUUUUUUUUCUUGCUGUUUUUAGCACUUUUUUGCACUAUCAGAAACGGAGGCAAUGGAAAUAAGAGUAUUCAGUUGUCCUUCAGCUUAAUUUCUUCUUUAAAUCUAACGUACUAGUGCUCGAAUUGAGACAAUAUAAUAUACCUUACACACUCUUGCACAUUCAACAUUAAUGAUUAAUAUACUACUACUUGAAUAAAGCCAACAACUCAGACCAAGAAGGAACAAAACUUAAGUUUGACUGCUUCGUAUUAUUGCUUUUGCCUCAGGAAUUAAAAGGUCAUACUCCUAAUUUACUUUCCCUGCCGUCCUAUAUGUAUUUUGCAGCUUCCCACUUGUGGAUUCAUUGAAUAAUGAAGUUAAGAUCUUAUCUGCGGAUGUUGGCCGGCAAAGCAUCCCUAGGCCAUGUUCCAUUUGAUCCUGCAACCUUUCAAGAACUUGGAUGUUGGGACUAACCGACCACUGGUGAUGCUAGUUGAUGGCAUAGAUGUAUUUUUCUUAGUAUCCUGUAACACUCCUAUUUUCCUAUCUAGUAGCAAUUUUAUUUCUAUUGGCCUGCAAAAUAGUUGCACACAUAAAAAAAUAAUGUAAGUUCAUUAACUUUACCAGAAAAUAGACUCCUCUCUUUAUAGUUUAUAUGUAUCCUUUGGAGUUCAAAAUGCCCAUUCAUUGAGAUUAAUGAUUAUCAUCACAUAAUGAUCACUAGAAUGAGCAAAAGAUUAAAAAUUGCAACAUGUAUAAGCGAUAAAUAUAAAUAUGAAAAUUCCUAAAAUUAAGGGAUAGUCCGUGAUUUCGUUUGCGGCAACUACAACUUAGAGUGGGAUUUUUCUAACAUAUAUUAAUUGGCGAAUGAACUUACAUAUUGCUCUUAUGUAUCACGAACCAAUAAUACAUUAAUUGGCAGAAAUAUUGUCAACUACUGGACAAGCUGGAAUUCUACCUCGGUCAACUUCAAAACACUGACAAAUGCAAUGGAGUACAGUAUAUUUUUGGCCACAAGGGUGGAUUUGGGGUGAGGCUCAUAAUAAAAAUGAGGAAGGUCAUAAAUUGAUGCAUGGUUAUAGCAGGCCUGUUAAAUUCUUGACACUUGGGAUAAAUUCUGGCGAGGAUAGGCCAAGCAGUUAAUGUGCGAAGUAACUUUUGUUCAGUGGAAAUUUAACACCUCAACCACUUUGUCACAUCAAGUCACCUGUCGAAAUUCAUUCAAAUAAUAGAUGGAACAAAUAAUAUUUUUAACAUUUGAGUUUCAUGAAAAGGGAUGUAACCCGUGUUAAAUCCGAAUUCAUUGAAGCUGUAUUUAUUUUUCAGUAAAAAAUUCAUGCGCUAAUUGAAAUAUCUUAAUAUUCGAGUUUCUUUUUUACAAGGAAAAUGCUAAUUCAAUUAACUUUGUCGUUAGCUAAAUCCAAGAUCCAAAACUGAGUCUGCAUUCCUUCAUUUGAGGACUAGAAUCUUGCACAGUAUUCUUUCCUUUCCUUUGUCGAGAUGGCCCUGUUUACUCAGGAACCUCCCGUUAAAAGUUGUUGAUUGCUAUAUUUACGUUUGUUUUCUCCUAAAACCAAUUUAUUUAUUUUUUUUUAAUAAGCAAGAGACUUUCAAAAGUUGCACUAUCAGCACCAAAUACAAGGGGAAAAAAAGAUACUACUGGUGCAGUCAAUGGCAGAUAACACUCUAAAACUUCAAAAUUUCCACAAAUACCAAUAACUCUAUGCAGCUUGAAUAGAUUAGCUGUUCAUGUCUACUACGAACAAAUUUAACGAGUGCAAGUUACAAGGCUCAAGAGAAAGAUUAGAUCUGAUCAAACUAACCUAAAAGAGAUCCCAAAUCUAGUAAGAACAAAUGAAGUUAAAAAUUCAACGAAAAAACUCUUGCUAGAAAAAUUGUAAUAGAAUAUAAAUUCCCCACUAGGAGAAUCCGAAUAAAUUCGAACUAGGAGAAUUUUUGAAGAGAAAAUUGUUACAAAAACAAAGACAAAAAAAAAAAAUCUAGGAAGAGCAGGAGAAUAGAGGUUAAGGAAUUUCUUGUCUGAAGUAAUUCUAGAAGGAAAAUUAGGCUGGGGGAGCUCCUAAAAUCAAUUUGUUGUUCGCAACUUUAUAAUUAAAAAACCAUCUGUGUCCCAUCUUGUAUCUAAGUGCCCAAAUAUUUGGUGCGCUUAGAUGAUAUCUUUGUUAGGUUACAGAACUUUGACGCUUGGGAGGCUAACUGGGUCCCUAGGAAGGCCAAUGUGCCAGCACAUUUAUUAGCUAGAAAUGCUCGCUCUAUUUCAGAUAUCUGUAGUUGGAGUUAUUCUCCACCAUCUUUUCUUCUCUCCGCAAUUUCGGCGGACCUAUCCUCACUUUAAUGAAAUUUUCUAUUUUGCUAUCAAAAAAAGUGCCCAAAUAUUUAUCCUAGCUAAGGAAAGGGAUAAUUUCAGAAAUUUCCCUUGAGGUUUCUGACAAUGUCACUCAGCUCCCCCCAAUUUUAGAAAACUACACUAACCUCCCUUGCUUUACUGCUGAAGAGACUGUAUAGAUCCAUCAGGCUAGAAUUAUACUUAAGUAUCCUAAAAUACCCUUAUGCAACAUCAUACAUCAAAAGAAAGUGAAAAAAAAAGGUUUAGUGAUCAAUUUAACCAAAAAAAAAAGGUAACAAACAUUUUUAUCUAGACUUGCUAUGCUUCCACGAUAAUUAUAAACCCAAAACCUCAUUAACCUGUUCAAACAAACUCCAAAUUAAACCCCAAAUUCCAUCAAUUUUGGCAUCACUAAAAUAAAAAAUUUUACCAAAAAUCGCACUCCAACUUAAUCCCUAAUUUCUAUCAAUUUCGACAUCAUCAAGAUUCCAAUCUCUACCCAAAUCACUUCCUCUACAAAUCAAUCAUAAGCACCACAACCAAUUAAAAUACCCUCAAAAAGCUUCUCGCCCUAAAUUAACACUAUAUUUUGUCUAUUGAUUAAUCUCACACCUCAAAUUAUGAACCCAACACCUAUCGCCUAUCACCUUCCUAAACAGAAAAAGACUUGGCCAACCAGUAUUGAUGCCUAUGCCAAGCGCAACCCCAUACUCCAAUGGCGUUAGGAAUAGAUAAAUUAAUCUUUGUGACAAACUACCACCAAUACUUGUAAAUCAAACAAAAAAAUGAAACCAAAUGAAGAUAUUAGAUUCUAGUGCAUAACAGGCAUAAUAGCAUAGUCCAAAUUCGUCCCUUUUUCUUUUCCAACCAUAACCCAUUAAUUUUAUUUUUUUCCCCUCUAUCACAACCAUGUUCAUCAUCUCUAUCUAAUUUGACCAUGAAAUUUUCGUUUGCUCUCUCAAUUUGUAAUUUUGGAAAUUUUGAUUAUUUAAUGUAUGCAAAUUAUAAUACGAGAAGAAAUAAACAAGAGGGGUUGAUAGUUAAAUACCAUGGAAAGAGAGAAAUAGACAAGAAAUAAAUACUUCGGAUAGGUUUGCAUGGUGGUGUAGUUGACGGGUGGAAGAGACUAUGGUGUUAUAAACAGGAAGGAGAAAAUCAUAAGAGGUUGAAAAAAAAGAAGGGAAAGAGAAAAGAAACAGCUGUUAAUUAAAGUAGGGUUGGGAAUGAUGACGAAUUGCUAUCGAUUUUUAUUUUUCUUUUACUUUUGGUUUGGUUUUUGUGUCCGACAUAUGUGGUAAAUUAUCUAUUAAAUAGAGGAUAUUGUAGUUAUUUUAUUGAGUCGAGGGAGGUCAGUAUAAUUUUUUAAAAUUGUGGGAAGCGAGUGAAAUUGUCAGAAACCUCAAGGGAGGUUUCUGAAAUUAUCCCCUGAGGGAAUGUUCAAUAUUGAUUGUGAUGUUGGGUUGAACAUGUCACGUUCCAAUACAAUCUUCCAUUGACUUUAUGUUUUCAUAGUCUUGCCUUUAUUUCAAAGUUUUUAAUGAUACAAUUACUUAUUACAGCCACGGUGAGAAGCUUCUGCGUUGACGGAAUAAACAUUAACGCUUGCAUCAAAAAGGUUUAUGUUGCAGAGUCAAAUUUUGCUUGUAUACAUGUAUACGUAACAGACCAAUUAUGGUGUUGAAAUACAAUUGAUUAACAAAUUAUGGGCAGCUACUGAAGCAAUAAUAAUGUCAAAUAUUCCAGAAGGAGUCAGUUUCUUGCGUGGAAAUUUACUUAAUUCACCUCUUUGUCAAACUCAACAAUUGAGGAAAUAAAGCUCUACAUAGAAAAGGAAAAAGUGCUUUUCUUGUGCGUAUGAAAAAAUCGAUGUUUUAACAAUAUUUGGAUUUCCUCAAUACCUUAAGAAAUAAUGCACGAUAUAGUUGAAAAAAAUGGAUUUCUUGUAAGUAUCUUCGUGAAAAAAAAAUAGAUGUUCUUACCGUAUUUGGAUUUCCAAGAAAACAAGAAAGAAACAAUUUGCCGAUGUUAUCAAAUAAAAAAAACAUAAAAAGCAUAAGAUUGAUGCUAAGCCCACAACCCUUGAUUAAUCCUAUAGCAAUCUUGUCAAUCUUCACAUACGUUAAGGGCUUUUCAUAUAUGCGUUUCAUUUAUGUAAUCCUAUUAGGAUUACUUUCUGUUUUUUUUCCUCAAUAAAUCAAGGACUCGGACUUCAUUUGUCUUUUCUACUCAUCUUUUCUUUUCUUGGACUUUCUUGGGUAUGAGUGGGAAUGCACAAAUCAAAACUUUUGUUAGUGCUUCUUGUUUGGUCCAAGCUUGAUAUUAAUAUAUUUGUGUUUCAUGUGGUUCCAAGUACCCGUGAAUUAUUCCCUAAAUCUCGGCUAAUAUUUAAGGAACCAAUAACAUGGUCCAACUGAAAGAGAUUGGCUGUCUUAAUCUAGGCAUUUCUAACCCAUAAAUAAAUUAUUCGAGAGUAGGCAUUCGGAAGUAUUUAUAAACUUCAUAACAUGUUUAGGCAUAAUCAACUAAUCACUUUGUAUAUAUCAAUGUUGAUAUAUAUAUAAAAUGCAGCAUAUUUUAGACGCCAAUAAAUGUAAGUAAUAUACAAGGUGGUGAGAUUGUGAAAUGGCUCAAGCACAAGAAGUUGAGUUGAAGUAUCAAAUAACACAAUGAUUAACGCGCAGAGGUGAACCGAUCAAUGUAUCCGCCCACUAUAUAUCUGCUUUUGAACAAGUCACCUGGGAAGGCUCUGUUUUGUCAGGCGCUGACCAGAACAGAACUGAAAUUGUCAAAGGCUUCCCUUCUCAACCUUAACUGGAUCAGCGUAAUAGUGUAAUACCAAAAAUUCAAUCAAUAGCGCAAAUUCAGAAUCCAACCUCAAUCCUUCUGGAUCAUGAAGCUGACUCCAAGACUAUAUAUAUGACACAAUCCGAAGGGAAUAAAGCCCCACAGAAACAAGAAACCGUUCGCUAUAACAGUUUCAUCAAAAGCUCCAUUUUCUAUAUAUUGGAAAAAACAGAGAAUUAGCCAGAAACAAAACAAAAUGGUGUUAGCUCCCAUGAAAGCUGCUAGUAGUAGCAUUUUUUGCACUUGUCUUUUAUUCAUGAUCAUCAGCUUCAGCUCUAGCUAUGCUAGCCCUUCAUACUCCUCUGAGGCCAUGAAGGGAGCUUACUACCCCUCAUGGAAAGUUGCAGAAUUUCCGCCAUCCGCCAUAGAUACAACCUUAUUCACUCACAUCUACUACGCAUUUCUCAACCCCAAUGCCUCAACUUUUAAGUUCGACAUAGAUGCCUCAACAGCAAACCUUCUCAUCGGCUUCACAUCAACUCUUCACUCCAAA
rnacentral:lncRNA from 1 species